GAGGAUAUAGCUCAAUGGUAGAGCGUGAGCUUAGCAUGCUUGAGGUCCUAGGUUCAAUCCCCAGUACUUCU
rnacentral:tRNA from 1 species